rnacentral:misc_RNA from 1 species
GAUGAAGAACGCAGCGAAAUGCGAUAAGUAAUGUGAAUUGCAGAAUUCAGUGAAUCAUCGAAUCUUUGAACGCACAUUGCGCCCGCCAGUAUUCUGGCGGGCAUGCCUGUCCGAGCGUCAUUUCAACCCUCGAACCCCUCCGGGGGGUCGGCGUUGGGGAUCGGCCCUUUACGGGGCCGGCCCCGAAAUACAGUGGCGGUCUCGCCGCAGCCUCUCCUGCGCAGUAGUUUGCACACUCGCAUCGGGAGCGCGGCGCGUCCACAGCCGUUAAACACCCCAAACUUCUGAAAUGUUGACCUCGGAUCAGGUAGGAAUACCCGCUGAACUUAAGCAUAUCAAUAAGCAGAGGA